UACGUAGGGUGCAAGCGUUAAUCGGAAUUACUGGGCGUAAAGCGUGCGCAGGCGGUUUUGUAAGUCUGACGUGAAAUCCCCGGGCUCAACCUGGGAAUUGUGUUGGAGACUGCAAGGCUAGAAUCUGGCAGAGGGGGGUAGAAUUCCACGUGUAGCAGUGAAAUGCGUAGAGAUGUGGAGGAACACCGAUGGCGAAGGCAGCCCCCUGGGUCAAGAUUGACGCUCAUGCACGAAAGCGUGGGGAGCAAACAGG
rnacentral:rRNA from 1 species